AGAGCGCACGGAGGGGCCGUGCGGUCUCCACCAGCGGCCAUAGGACCGCGGAGCAGUUCUAGCCCGCUCGCCCGCACGUUCGCACACCGGAUCUUCGCCGAGUGCCAGGGCGCAGCGCGUGGGGCGUCUGCCUCGCUUGGUCCCCUCCAGCGUCACCAUGCUGCCGCCACAGCUGUGCUGGCUGCCGCUGCUCGCUGCCUUGCUGCCGCCGGUGCCCGCGCAGAAGUUCUCAGCGCUCACGUUCUUGAGAGUCGAUCAAGACAAAGACAGAGACUGCAGCCUGGACUGCCCAAGCUCCCCUCAGAAGCCACUCUGUGCCUCGGACGGGAGGACCUUCCUGUCCCGAUGUGAGUUCCAGCGGGCCAAGUGCAAAGAUCCACAGCUGGAGAUCGCUCACCGUGGGAAUUGCAAAGUGUACUGGGACUAAAGAUGUGAACAACCACUCGUGGUUUAUGGUCUGCUGGGGACUGAACCCAGGACCCCUUUCGUGCUAGGCAAGGAUCUCUACCAACUGCAAAGCAGUCAUUUUUACAAAUUGUCUGACUCCCUCAGUGUUUCAUGUUGUCAUAAAACAAAUUUAUCACAAGC
rnacentral:lncRNA from 1 species